AGGGCCAACGGUGGAUGCCUUGGCGUCAAGGGCCGAUGAAGGGCGUAGCACGUCUGCGAUAAGCCUCGGCUAGCUGUCAAGCAAGCUUAACCGGGGAUUCCCGAAUCGGGGAACCGGUCCUAGAGAAACUAGGACAUCCUCAGCUGAACACAUAGGCUGAGGGAGGUAACCAGGGGAACUGAAACAUCUAAGUACCCUGAGGAAUAUAAAGCAACCGCGAUUCCCUAAGUAGUGGUGAGCGAACGGGGAACAGCCUAAACCUGCAGGGUUUAGUGGCCUGAGGGCCUAUACCUUGUGGGGGUUGUACGGCAUAUCGGCAUGAGCCUCAGUGAUUGCACAGAGUUACAAAUCUGCUUUCUAGCUGAAGGAACCUGGAAAGGACCGCCAUAGGGGGUGAUAGCCCCGUAAGCGAAAGGAAGUAGACUCUGGAUAUGUUCGUGAGUACCACGGGACACGAGAAAUCCCGUGGGAAGCUGGGGGGACCACCCUCCAAGGCUAAAUACCCUUGACGACCGAUAGUGUACAAGUACCGUGAGGGAAAGGUGAAAAGAACCCCUGAAGGGGAGUGAAAUAGACCUGAAACCGUGGGCCUACAAGCGGUCGGAGCCUCGAUUUAUCGGGGUGACGGCGUGCCUAUUGAAGAAUGAGCCGGCGAGUUACUCCUGUGUGGCAAGGUUAAGGAAUUUAUACGUUCCGGAGCCGUAGCGAAAGCGAGUCUGAAUAGGGCGUCCAGUCGCACGGGGUAGACCCGAAACCGGGUGAGCUACCCAUGGCCAGGGUGAAGCCUCGAUAGUCUCGAGGUGGAGGCCCGAACCCGUGUACGUUGCAAAGUGCUGGGAUGAGCUGUGGUUAGAGGUGAAAUUCCAACCGAACCCGGAGAUAGCUGGUUCUCCCCGAAAUGCAUUGAGGUGCAGCCUCAAGGGAGAGGAACGGAGGUAGGGCUCUGAAUGGGCUAGGGGGCGCAAGCUUACUGAACCCAAUCAAACUUCGAAUGCCGUUCUGUCUAUGCCUUGGGAGUGAGACAGUGGGGGAUAAGCUCCAUUGUCAAAAGGGAAACAGCCCAGACCACCAAUUAAGGUCCCUAAAUACAGGCUAAGUGUCAAAGGAAGUAUGGUCACCCAGACAACCAGGAGGUUGGCUUAGAAGCAGCCACCCUUUAAAGAGUGCGUAAUAGCUCACUGGUCAAGGGACUGUGCGCCGACAAUUUAUCGGGGCUAAAGCCUGUUACCGAAAUUGUGGCUUCCGCUUACGCGGAGGGGUAGGGGAGCGUUCUAUAUGCACUGAAGCUCAACUGUAAGGUUGGGUGGAGCGUAUAGAAGUGAGAAUGCCGGCAUGAGUAAUGUGAAGAUGCGUGAGAACCGCAUCCGCCGAAAGUCUGAGGUUUCCUACGCAACGUCGUUCGGCGUAGGGUUAGUCGGUCCUAAGUCGAGGCCGCAAGGCGUAGACGAUGGAUAGCUGGUUAAUAUUCCAGCGCCACCCAUGGAUCGUUUUAAGGCUAAGGAGGGACACGGGAAGCUAGGUAGAGCGUGCCUAUUGGACAUGGUACGUCGGAACCUGUAGGUGAUCUCGGGAUAGGAAAAUCCGUUCCGAGGCUUGAGCUGAGGGGUAAUGCGACUUUAGGGCUUAGCCCUAGGGAAGUCUAUUGAUGCUACACCGGCAAGAAAAACUUCGUAGCUAGAGUCAUGGGUGUCCGUACCGCAAACCGACACUGGUGGACUGGUAUAAAUGUACUAAGGCGGACGAGAGAACCAUCCUUAAGGAACUCGGCAAAUUGACUCCGUAACUUUGGGAGAAGGAGUGCCCUGGGACGUGUACCCCCUUGCGGGAGAAGCGUUUUGGGGUCGCAGAUAAGAGGCUCUGGUGACUGUUUAACAAAAACACAGGUCCCUGCUUAAGUCGUAAGACGAUGUAUAGGGGCUGACGCCUGCCCAGUGCCGGAAGGUCAAGAGGCGCGGUGAGAGCUGCAAUUGAAGCCCCGGUGAACGGCGGCCGUAACUAUAACGGUCCUAAGGUACCGAAAUCCCUUGUCAGGUAAGUUCUGACCCGCAGGAAAGGCGUAACAACUGGAGCGCUGUCUCAAGGAUGGUCUCGAUGAAAUUGAAGUACGAGUGAAGAUGCUCGUUACCCGCAGCAGGACAAAAAGACCCCGUGGAGCUUUACUGCAACCUGACAUUGAUCCGAGGAUACAGUUGUGUAGCAUAGGUGGGAGGCUAUGAAACUCAGACGCCAGUUUGAGCGGAGCCAUCGUUGAAAUACCACUCUUCUCUGUUUUUG
rnacentral:rRNA from 1 species